rnacentral:rRNA from 1 species
GACGAACGCUGGCGGCGUGCUUAACACAUGCAAGUCGAACGGAAAGGCCCUUCGGGGUUCACGAGUGGGGAACGGGUGAGUGAGGGGUGAGUAACCUGCCCUUCACUCUGGGAUAAGAGUUGGAAACGGCAGCUAAUACCGGAUAUUCAUCUGCUCUCGCGUUGCGUGGUUUGGGAUGUUUUGGUGGUGGAGGAUGGGCUCGCGUCGUAUCAGCUUGUUGGUGGGGUGAUGGCCUACCAAGGCGUCGACGGGUAGCCGGCCUGAGAGGGCGACCGGCCACAUUGGGACUGAGAUACGGCCCAAACUCCUACGGGAGGCAGCAAUGGGGAAUAUUGCACAAUGGGCGGAAGCCUGAUGCAGCAACGCCGCGUGCGGGAUGACGGCCUUCGGGUUGUAAACCGCUUUCAGCAGGGACGAAGCGCAAGUGACGGUACCUGCAGAAGAAGCACCGGCUAACUACGUG